GCCGAGAGGUGGGGCCUGGGCCCGGGCCCUACCGCCUCCCCCGACCGCGGUGCCACUCGUGCCGCCCGCAGGGAGCGGUGUCUGAGGGGCUGCUCGCGGAAAGGCCGCUUCCCGUCCGUCGCGGCGGGGGGGCUGGGCUGGGCUCCUGAGCGACCGCAGUCGUAUCUGCUUUGGGGGAGGUUUGGGAUGUUCUGUCUGAGCACUGCAACCGCGGUUGGAGUUGGUCAGGGUAAAGAUACAGUGAGGUGCUUCUCGCCACCGUAACCUCAGCGUCCUGAACAACAGAGAAAACAAGAGUUUCUGCAUCCCCAGGUUCCAGUCCGACCUUAACAUUUAACAAAGGAGGAAAAAACCCAACCCAAAACUAAUAUAUAGAUAAAUAGUGUCAGUCUUUAAGUAAGCAGGGAAGUGGGGGGUGUAAGCCUUUGUCUCCAGAUGUCUUUUAUGGAACCCAAGGCAGGAUACAGUCCUUCAGCAUUUAAAACGUAGAUUUCUCUGAAAGUGCCAGUUCUAACAUCUGUUUUACCCAACUGAGGAAUGACACCUAAUUUGCUGAUGGAGGGCCUUAGAUUGUUACAUUUUCUGAAGUGAAUAUCCAAGAAUUAAUUUGUAAAGAUUAAUAGCAAAUCCUGAAGCUAAGGAUUUACGUUCAAGUCUGCAUUCCACAAAUCAGUUUAACAGGCGUUGUACUGAAGGGUUUAUUAUAACCCUCUGGUGCAGUGCUUCAUGAUCUGUAGUUGAGAAAGGACCGGGGAAGAUCUGCAUAACUAACUCUGUGGCUGGUUGUCAUUUCCACAGGACUUCAGCUUGUCCAGCAUUUGAAGCUGGGCCAGUUGAUUCUAUAUGGAAAAUACUGUAUGGUCAACUGGAAUUUACUUCUGUGGCAUGGUUACUUUAAUGGUUAAAGGUAGUUGCUUAUUCAGGAAUUGUUUCCUUGUGAUCUUUGUUGAGCAGUCACCAAGACAAGAAAAAACUUUAUGUGUUUUUUUUUUCUAGAUAGUAAUUUUGUAGAUUCUCCACUCUUAGUUGUGGCUUUAUUAAGUGCUUAUAGUUUUAGAAUUUAAACUGGUAUUGCUUUAUAAUUUGAUUUCUGGUUAGAGGAGAAAAUGCUUUUUCUAAUACAUAAAUACAUUGGUAAGAGAUCCUGUAAUUUCCUUGUUUCUUGAUAUUUGUUUUAAAAACCAAUGUCUGUGUUCUUUCCUUAGGAGCAUUUCCAUGCCUGUGGCACUUCCACUUGAGUGGCAGCUUUCACAUAGAAGAAUUGUCUAUUGUAUUGUAAAAACAGGUUCCACACAGCUCCCCUUUGCAUAAAGCUGUAGUGGCAUCUGCAUCCUUCCCUGGCUGGAAACAGAAAGCAGGCUGACAAAGCCAGGUUGUCAUCUUGUGUGCACCUUUACAAAGAGCACAGUGGGAGGCCUUCUCCUGGAGAAGAAUCAGAGAAGAUCCUGCAUCAGGAGGGGGAAAAGGAGCUAGGAAUUAAUAGCAGCCGAUGAAAACAGUCCUUGGAUAGUGAUGUGAAGGAUCUGCAAACUUGGGGACACGCACAAAUGACAAAUGCAGCUCCAGAUCUAGAAAACUUCACUGUAAUGGAGCCAGAGCUUUGAAGCUGCUCUCCCAUUUCAAUGUGCUAAAGUGAAUCAGUCUUGAAUGGCAGGCACUGAGGGAUUUGGACCAUGCCUGAUUAGACUCUUUUCUGCAUUCACAUGUCAGCUUUUCCCAGUUCAGAGAAGCCAGAAAAUCCUCCAUGGGAAAGCAGUAGUUCCCAAAGCUCAAGAGAGCUCCUGGCACAGGUAAAAAUAACAUGAAAUACAUUCAGUAGCAAAGCAGUUGGAAUCCAGGAGGAGUGGAGAGCCCUGUAUUCCUGGUGGAUUAACCUGUAUGUGUUUAGACAUGAUACUGAAAUAAAUCAUGUAGACUUCUGA